AGGAUGAACGCUAGCGGCAGGCCUAAUACAUGCAAGUCGAACGGGAUUGGGGCUUCGGCCCCAUGAGAGUGGCGUACGGGUGCGUAACGCGUAUGCAACCUACCUUGAUCAGGGGGAUAGCCCGGAGAAAUCCGGAUUAACACCGCAUAAAAACACAGGGCAGCAUUGUCCAAUGUUCAAAUAUUCAUAGGAUCAAGAUGGGCAUGCGUGCCAUUAGCUUGUUGGUAGGGUAACGGCCUACCAAGGCGACGAUGGCUA
rnacentral:rRNA from 1 species